rnacentral:tRNA from 1 species
GGCACUAUAGCUCAGUGGUCGAGAGCACCUUAGGACUAAUGAAAAGGUCUGGGGUUCAAAUCCCCAUAGAGCUA